rnacentral:ribozyme from 1 species
CCAAUGAAAAAAAAAAAAAAAAAAAAAAAAAAAA